GGGGGUCUUGGCUGGCGGGGGAGGGGGUCUCCCCGGGCUCUACCUCCCGCGGCCGGGACUACCCUCAGAGCCGCGACCGCCGCGGCGUGCGUCCCGGGCCUGCAAAACUGUUUCCAAACUGCCCGGGCCGGAGGCGGGCGCGCGGGGCCCGGGGAGAUGGCUGGGGUCUGGGGGGCCGAGGGUGUGUGUGGACGCUGGGAGCCGCGGGGGGAGGCCGGCGUCGACUCAGAGGAGUUGCAAUCGAGGUAUCUGCGCUCCGGCUUCCUCCUGCGGCCCGCGACCCCCUCCCCGGAGCUGAGCUGGGGAAGGGAGACCAGGGUUCACCACGUUAGCAUUCGCAUUCCUGGGAGGAUGCAGCCCUCGCCUGGACCUGGGCGAUAGACGCCUUCUUCUGUUUUUAUUUUUGGAGGGGAGCGCCCUGUAAUUGUCCUGAACACAUGCUUCCCCCCCUUCCUCCAGCCACCCGCGGAGGAGAGAGUCCCCCUUUUUUGCAUUUAUCUUUUCCUUCCCCUUUCUUUAUUAAAGGUCCGGGAGUGGCGGCGGCCAAUCAGCGCGCGGCUUCCAUUUUGUGAGUUCAACUCCGAGGCUCCCGGGCUUCGCGAGGACGCGUUUGCAGCCCCCUCUGCCGCUCCUCUCUGGCGGCCGAGGCGCAGGAGCCGCCUCGCCGGGGCUCGGAGCUGGUGUAGCUCAUAUUGGGGCUCUUUUCGGGGUUUGUAAUUUGGCCGUGGGUAGGUAAUUGGCUGGAGCAGGGCGGCAGGGCGCGGCAGCCAAUCAGCGCGCGGCUUCUAUAGGGCUUGAGUUAUUAGACGCUGAUCUCAAAACAUCCUUCAUCAGACACGAAGGAGAGGCCAACAGAUGAGGGAAGCCAUUUUUCUGCAAUGGAAUUAAAUGGCCAAGUGGGUUUUUCCUUUGUUGCAAAUGGGGAAUGUUUUUCCUUUGACUCUACCAUCCAGUUCAGGACGUCUCAGUGUGUUUAACAUUUGUCAACAGGCCCAAGGACUCACAGUUGGAAGACUGGAGAAGACUUUUUAAAAAGAUCUGGAUUUUUCCUUAUGACUUGGAAUCCAUCUUUGUCUUGUAUAACUAGGUCAUAGCACACCAUUCAUGUCAGCAGUUAACAGUUUUGAAUUCCAAAAAAACCUAAAGCAGUAAACAGUCCUCAGCGAAGCCGCCUUUUUGCCUACCCAACCCUGGAAAGUUUGCAGAAGUGGAAGGAGCAGAACGUGAGGGUGUAACUUACAAAAAGGUUCUGGGCCGGAGAAGGGGCGACGUUCGGGCACCCCCCGAAUGGACAAUCUUUCCUUCUGUCAACGGCAGGGGCAGGCCUAGUUUGACUCUGACAGUCCUCCCACUAAGGAAUUCCUGGUGACUGGAAGGGGGAGUGACUCAGGCCCUCAACCUCUAGCAGAGUGCCUUGGCUCCCUCCUGUCGUCCUGGGGAACCUCGGCCCCAGCCCUGCCUCCCCAGCCAGUCACAGCUCCUCCCUGGUCACCCUGAGGGAGCUCAGGGCCCGGCUGGUAGCUGGGUUGCUCUGCUUCUGUCCCCCACUCCUGUGGAGCCUGGCAGGCAACUCCAUGAUCUGACCCCGGUUACCUUGACAGCCCUGCCUGGCCUCCCCUCUCAUGGCCCAGCCACCCCAGAACCUGAAGAGGUUUUCUAGCUGCCGUGCAUUUGCCAGGCUGGGUUACCCACCCUACUUUCCCUGCCUGCCCUCCAGUGCUGCCAGGCCUAGUGUGCCAGCCAGCGCUCAGCCUUCAGUAAAGGGUUCCCCUGCUUCCAACCUCCAUUGCACUGCUUCCCCUAAGACUGUGACCUCCUGGAAGGCUGGAGCACAACUGCCUCUCAAU
rnacentral:lncRNA from 1 species